CUCGCCCUCCCCGGCGCCGCCGCCCGCCGCGGGGUAACGGUCGCCGCGGGGUAACGGUCGCCGGCGGCCGGCACGGACCCGCCCCCCCCGGCACCUGCCCGCGCCCCGGCGGGGCGGCCGCCCCGCUCCUCACCUGUUCAGCACUUUCCUGAUCCGCUGGCGCACGCUGAAGGAGGACGCGGAGAUGCCGCCCCGGCCGCCGCCGCCGCCGCCGCCCUCCGCCGGCAGCUGAGCUAUAUGUCAUCUCCCUCAUCCGCUGGUGCGAUGGGAAUGCAUCCAGGAAUCACCCUGCCUUUAUCCUUCGAGACAUGGUGUGGCAUGCGUUGCCCUCGGGAAACUAUUUGCUCUGAGCAUCUCGGCGGUCUCAAGUGAAUAGAUUGGGAGACUAGAUCCAUCAGAGCAUAUUGUUCCAGCCGUGGAAUGCUUUUGAAGAUGUGGAUCACUCGCUCAAAAUCCUCUAAAGUUCAUUCUGAGUUCUGGGCAAAAAGCCAACUGCUUUCAGUGCGAGGCAAACCUCAGUUGAAUCGGAUUAUGCUGCUAGGAGAUUCUCCGCUCUCGUAUCCCCCCCCUAUGGCAACCACAUGUUCCAUGAGUGGAGAAAAGAUAAGGUUCGUUCUCCCUGACAGCACUUGGAAGUGGAAGGAACAGAGCUUCAAAAGCAUCAGAUGUUUCCCCUAGCCUGAAAAUGAUGUGUCACAACUUUAUUUUCAGUAUUGGUCAUUAUAUGCAGCCUUCUCCAUUGUACACCAUUGCCUUUUGGCUUCAGCACCCCACACUCGCACACUCAUUUCUGUCUCAUACCUCUAGUACAUAUCUGACAAUGUUUUCAAGUCCUUCAUUAAACAUACUUUCUCCAUAAUUGCGUCUGUAUGACAACUGCAAAUACUCUGGAAAUACUCUCUGUGUCUAUAAUGACAACAUUUAGAUGAGAAAUGUAUUUGCUUCCUUAUGUUCAGUGGCCAUUUCAGACUAAUCUGACAGCUGAGCAAGUCAGAACAAUGGUGUUUGUGUAACUUUAUUUCUACUGAUUAAACCAAAUGAAUGCAUACCUGAAGUCCAGUUUGUGAUCUGCCAAUAAAGAGGAGGUCUGUAGGAAGAUACUGCCCUCAGGACAGUCACUGUAUUUAAAAGCUCGUUUUUUACUGAUAGAGAGGGAAGCUGUUGGCCCAUGCACACACCCCUUCUACCACCAUGGCUAAAUGGAUUUCUUGCAUAUACGUUUUUUAUUAAUGCAAUACUCAGCUUUUGCUCAGUGUCCAAUAAAAGUCUUUCCAAGUA